ACUCUGAUUUUGAUACCGGUAUUGCAGAGUAGAAUCUAGACCAGCCCGGAGGUGGGGAAUCGAAACACCCUAAGCCAGAUCUGUAUCUUGAUUAUAAAGACGAUGUUUCUUGACCUGCUGGAGGU
rnacentral:lncRNA from 1 species